CCAACACACCCCCUCUCUUCCCCUCCCCCCAGGCUCUCCUCUUUCCCUCCCCUUUUUCUUUCUCUAUAAAGCUGGUAGACAGAUUAUAUGUUGGUAGAGUGGUCCAUGAAACUCUGUAUGGCCAUGCUUUUUCUCCUUCUUCUCUCUGUCUGUCUUCCUUUUCAUCACUACUCUGUGUUUUAGGUCAAGAAAAAGGCUGUGCAGAUUUGAGUUUUGAGAUCUGAGGUCAAGCAUUUUCAGUGGAUGGUUCAUGGGUCUUUUUUUUUCUUUUUACUCUCUUUGAAGUCUUGGCCAUGCUUUUCCACAGCUUUCUUGAACUUUCUUUGUGAACGACUCGAUCUCAAAAAUAUUAGCUUAUGCUAGAUAAUAGCUAUAUAGCACACCGAGGAAGCUCAAGAAAGCUGUGGGAAAACAUGGCAAUUCAGGACUUUUUUUCCCUCGUUUCAGUACAUUCAACCAAGAUUUAUUUCUGCAGAAAAUGAAGAAAUAUACUCCACAUCUUUUUAUCCGCAUACAGAGCAUGGUAAGGUGUAGUCCCUCAUUUUCAUCAUGGCCAUUUUAUUUUCCUUCUGAAUUAUGAUCCAAAAUUUUUGCAGCUUUUUCUCAUAGAAAAGGUUUCUGAUGCUGGAUUACAAGCCCUUUUGCGAAGACGGGUCGGGACUAUAUGCUAAUUGAUGGUUAUAGAAUUGAAUUCAAGUUUGGUAUAGAGUCAAAUAUUGUUGAAUUGAGGAAGCAAUUUUGCUAGCUAUAGUAUGAUUUAUUUGACAAUGUAUGGCUGGAAGGGGUAAGACGAUCAUGACAGAAGAAGUUUCAUACGUGUGAAGACAGCAUUGGCGGACAGCAGAAGAACAGCCAAGGAACAUAAAGUAUAUCUACCUUCACAAGCACCUCUUAUUCCAACUACUUUUUUUUUUGUUUGCCCCUCCCUUUUUUCCCUUCCUUUCCUUUUCUGUUUCUUUUUGGUUUUUAUAGAUUUCAUCCAAUUAUGUUCUAGCAAGUAGCAAGAAUAUUACAGCUGAGACAUUUUAACAUAUACUCACUCAGUCACCGGUUCCAGGCAAUGUAGUUUUCAUUUGUCUUGAUAAUUACAUUUAGUUUAUUAUUA